UGGAACACCUUGUCUAAACUAUGAUAUAUGAAGCACAUUCAUCUACUCCGCAAAUAGAGUCUUCAACAACAGUGAAUCGUCGCCAUGCUUGCAUAGAUACACCAAAAACACUUAAUCCGCUAUUACAUGGGUGUCAUCUAAUUACUUGAUCCAUUCAUCUUGCCUCUAGAGAGUGAAAACUGAAGAAAGUGACAAGAAUGAAUUGCAGAGCACCGGCAGUACCACGCCCUCUCCUGACCUCGGUUGUUGAUGGUUAGAUCCAUCAUAAUCGACAUGCCUGAGUCCAAAACAAUAAUAAAAUAUUAAUUGGACAAUUGGUAAAGCCUAAACAGAACAUCCAAAAAAUGGAACCUUAACCAGUAAAUAGACUGCAUUUCAAUUAGUGGAGGGUUUUAACAGGCCAAACAAAGUCGCAUGAAAAAUUGAAUUUCAUCUGAUCCAAGCAAAUAGAAGAAUAUAUUCCACACAAUUCAAAUGCACGAAUGCUUUAUGUAAUAUUCCGUCAGGUUACUUUCUCCUCCACUUAUCUUACUUGAGUCUUUCCUUAGUUUAGACCUUCAAUUAUGAGCAUCAUCUAGUUGGUGUGGUCAAAGCAUAUUGAUACAUCUCCCGAAUUCAGGAGUUGUGCCAGAAGCCAUUGUGAUGUCUACUUGCUCAUAGUCAAUUAUAUGUUACAACCAAGUUGCCUGUUGCUCACCUGAACAUCAUGAAUUAGAAGACUGUUGUCAAGGACCGUGAAUCUGAUUUUCAAAAGCACCACAAAUAACUCUGUAAUGUGGGUUAGAAACCAUACUACAUGAACCCAGCAGCAAACUGGAUCAACCUCAUUGUUAGUGGAGGAUGUAUAAUGGAGAAGCAGAUUCUGGUCAAGGAGGACAGCAACAUAGACCCUGUUAGAAGCCAGUUUUGCCAUGUUUGUUUUCUUGAACCUUGAAAAUGAACGAAAACAAAAUGCUAAUACUCCCUCCGUAAACUAAUAUAAGAGUGUUUAGAAUACUAAAAUAGUGAUCUAAACGCUCUUAUAUUAGUUUACAGAGGGAGUACAACUUUAUUUAAGGCUGCAAAAAAAUACAGGUUAUAAGUUUAAACAUUUGUUGCUACUGCAUUUUGCAGAGGGCUUUGUUUGACUAUUUAUCAAAGCAACUGUUGUUGGCUGCAAGUUUACUAUCAGGCUUUGUUUGACUACAACAUCGAAACUUUGUCCUCCGAACCUGCAUCAGACCAUAGUACAUGUUUGGCAUAUUUCUGUUGUUGGAAUAAUUCUUAGAUGAAUAACAACGUGCACUUCAAUUAUUUCCUUUCUCAUAAACCGAACCUUAGAGCCGAAGAAGACAUACUCGUACAGUCGCCUAACCUGCAGGUCUGGUAAACGGCGAUUAAGUGCAGACUCAAGAACCGCCGGCUGUGUGUGAUCUCCUCGAUCCCCCGACUUCUUCCCGCUGCCAAGCUCCACCAAUAUUAGAGGAAGAAUCGGAUCUCAUCAUGUCCUGCCCG
rnacentral:lncRNA from 1 species